GUCACGCGAGGAAUUCAACUCUGCAACGAGACGAAUGAAUGUGUAUGCGGACGUGCACAAACCUGAUGCACCGCGGGGAUUAACAGCGUUCACUUUCACGUGCAAUUAUCUGCUUUUACGAGUGUGUCUCUCGGGAAACAUUAUCGCGCGAGGUAGUAACGAUAGUCCUCUUGUUUCUCCUUCAUAGAGGGGACAAAGACGAGAAAUGGAUGGUUAAGACUUGAUUAUCAUCUAUUUAGAAGUUUGAAAAAAAUAAAAUAACGAGAAGAAAAAAGCAAAACUGAAUUGAUUAAUUAAGAAAGAAGAACCUAUGAAUCUCUUUGAAAUUCAAGAUUAAAAAACUUUCUCUUUACUCACGGAAAUAUAUGAAGGUUAAUGAAAUAUCCUAUGACAAACAAAAAAUGAUGCUACCAGACAAAAUUUCCUUCGUAAUGGAAGUCACUCUAUUAUCUUACCUUGGAUAAUUAGGUCGAACCGCUCUAGGUAUUUUUCUUCCCCUCCAAUCUUCCCCUCCAUUCUACCCGUUUAACGCGCGGACACAGCAUUGCAGCGAGAAUAAAUUCAGAUGUGAAUUAAUGCGAGCGGAAAACUUAAUGGAGAUGACUCAGGUGGAUCGAACUGUGGAUUACUUUCGCUGGAAAUAUAAAAUUAUGUAGAAAUUCGUUUGACGUCCUGUUUUAUCAGACGUUGAUCUUCAAUUUUUCACCAGCCAUAGAAUAUUAUAAACACAAAAAAAAGAUAAAUUGCCCUUCUCACUGUUCCUUUUCAAGAUGUAUUUUCUAAAUUAUUAUAUAAAUUUUUCAUCGUAGAGAAAUGAAGGAAUAUAAAUUUUUUUUAAGAAAAAAAAAAAAAAAAAAAAAAAAACUACACUACAGCUAGUUUUUCAAAAUAUUACCUUAUUUUCACAUUUUCGUUAUCUAUAAAAUUGUAAUACAAUUCGUUGCGCGUUGCACAAUUUUGAUUUUAGUUUGGAAACGAUUGCUUCCGUUCAAAAUAUUUUUUUAUCCGCGAAUAUUCCGAAUACACCGGUAUCACGUAACGAUAAAUAUAAAUUUUGAAUUUUUUUCGAUUAUUCCACGAAUUUGAAAGAAAAUUUUUAUUCGAAUUCCAUACUAUAUGAUAUACAGUUAUAAAUAAAACUUGUUUCAAGCUUUUCAUAACAUUCGCUAUUAUUAUUAUCAACGAAUAAAAUCGAAUCGAAUUUCAAAUUAUAUUUCUUUUUCUCUCUUUUAGUUUAAUUUAAUUGCCAAGUCACAUA